UCUAUAUGUGGCAGGUUGAGUGUUGCUCCUCCUCCACUCAGGUGAUUUCUGGUGGGCAGAUUGCAGAGUGGUUUCACCUGUAUAAGUGCUGCGCCUUCUCUGGCGCGCACACUGCUGCCUGGCACUCGUGGCGAAGACUCGGUGUGGCGUCUGUUAGUUGUUGGUUUGUUGUCGGUUGGUGUGGCGUGCUUCAGUCACUUGAAGGUGAGUAGGCAUGACGCUACUUUCGUGCAACUUUAUGAUGACAAGCAGGUGCCCAGUGAUCGCGAGUGUUUUUGUAACUUUCCAGCGUUGUUGGCCGUGUUGUUCGGGGGCGGCAUUGUGAAGAGUGAGGGGAGUGUGGCAUCCGCUCUGUACUGUUGCCGCAGCCGGUCAUCAGUUUCGGGGGCGUAAAGCUCUCUUCGUUCGGCUGUUGGAGCCGCAGCGGUGCUUUUGCUUUUCUUCCUCCUCCUGUGCUCUGGUGAAGCUGCCCUGCACGGCUCUGUGACGUAGCCUACACCUGGCGAUCCCAAACGUAAACCAUCCACGGCCUCCGGUCCUGGGGCGGCCGCUCUGUCUUCGCCAUCCGCUCCGUCUUCUCCAUCCACUCCGUCGUCUUCAUCAUCUUCGGCUGCUCCGGCACCGUUGCCUUUUUCCACACAGUCCGAUGUGGCGGUUGCAUUCCCACGCAGCGCUAAGAUUUCAGUCCCACCACAACUCUUAUCGGUUUGGUUAAUUGUCUGCUUUUCCUUUCAUCUUUUUGUGUUUGUGUUCUUUAGUUUAUUUGUUUGGGUUAAAUCCUAUACA